rnacentral:rRNA from 1 species
UACGUAGGGUGCUAGCGUUACUCGGAAUUACUGGGCGUAAAGCGCGCGUAGGCGGCUUUGCAAGUCGGGUGUGAAAUCCCCAGGCUUAACCUGGGAACUGCAUUCGAGACUGCAUUGCUAGAGUAUGGGAGAGGGAAGUGGAAUUUCCGGUGUAGCGGUGAAAUGCGUAGAUAUCGGAAGGAACGUCAGUGGCGAAAGCGACUUCCUGGACCAAUACUGACGCUCAUGUGCGAAAGCGUGGGGAGCAAACAGG